rnacentral:rRNA from 1 species
AGGGCAAGCGGGCGGACAUGCGGAUUAUUCGAUGCAACGCGAAGAACCUUACCAAGGCUUGACAUGGACCGGACCGCCGCAGAAAUGUGGUUUCCCCUUUGGGGCUGGUUUACAGGUGGUGCAUGGUUGUCGUCAGCUCGUGUCGUGAGAUGUUGGGUUAAGUCCCGCAACGAGCGCAACCCUCGUUCUAUGUUGCCAGCACGUGAUGGUGGGGACUCAUAGGAGACUGCCGGGGUCAACUCGGAGGAAGGUGGGGACGACGUCAAAUCAUCAUGCCCCUUAUGUCUUGGGCUUCACGCAUGCUACAAUGGCCGGUACAAAGGGUUGCGAUACUGUGAGGUGGAGCUAAUCCCAAAAAGCCGGUCUCAGUUCGGAUUGGGGUCUGCAACUCGACCCCAUGAAGUCGGAGUCGCUAGUAAUCGCAGAUCAGCAACGCUGCGGUGAAUACGUUCCCGGGCCUUGUACAACCCCGCCCGUAA